AUGCAUGUCUAAGUACGAGCCCCCGUACAAAGCGAAACUGCGAAUGGCUCAUUAAAUCAGUUAUGGUUCCUUUGAUCGUUACCCCUUACUUGGAUAACUGUGGUAAUUCUAGAGCUAAUACAUGCGAAACAACGCUGACCUCGCGGGAUGCGUGCUUUUAUUAGGACCAAGACCAAUCCGGGUCUUCGUGGCCCGGUCCCACUGGCGAACUCUGGAUAACUUGGCGGAUCGCACGGCCUCGGCGCCGGCGACGACUCUUUCGAGUGUCUGCCCUAUCAACUUUCGAUGGUACGUUAUGCGCCUACCAUGGUUGUAACGGGUAACGGGGAAUCAGGGUUCGAUUCCGGAGAGGGAGCCUGAGAAACGGCUACCACA
rnacentral:rRNA from 5 species